rnacentral:tRNA from 1 species
ACCUGGCUGGCUCACUCAGUAGAGUACACGACUCUGGACCUUGGGGUUGUGAGUUCGAGCCCCAUGCUGGGUA